rnacentral:rRNA from 1 species
GACGAACGCUGGCGGCGUGCUUAACACAUGCAAGUCGAACGGAAAGGCCCUGCUUUUGUGGGGUGCUCGAGUGGCGAACGGGUGAGUAACACGUGAGUAACCUGCCCUUGACUUUGGGAUAACUUCAGGAAACUGGGGCUAAUACCGGAUAGGAGCUCCUGCUGCAUGGUGGGGGUUGGAAAGUUUCGGCGGUUGGGGAUGGACUCGCGGCUUAUCAGCUUGUUGGCGGGGUAGUGGCUUACCAAGGCUUUGACGGGUAGCCGGCCUGAGAGGGUGACCGGCCACAUUGGGACUGAGAUACGGCCCAGACUCCUACGGGAGGCAGCAGUGGGGAAUAUUGCACAAUGGGCGGAAGCCUGAUGCAGCAACGCCGCGUGCGGGAUGACGGCCUUCGGGUUGUAAACCGCUUUCGCCUGUGACGAAGCGUGAGUGACGGUAAUGGGUAAAGAGGCACCGGCUAACUACGUG